rnacentral:lncRNA from 1 species
AAAGAUUCACCAAAUCUUGAGUGGAGUGGAUCUUCUUUCAUUUGAUAAAGACGAAUGAUAACAUAUACAAGAACCUUAAGACCCUUUUUAGAUCUGAUGAAGGUCUGGGAUCACAGAUCCUCUAAUCUCUUUAAAGAGGUAUGUUUACAUAUUUUUUAGAGAGAGGGAGAUGGAGCCCGAGCACCCCUUUUGGAAGUCCUCUCUUCCUAUUUAUAAGGGGUAUCCUUAAAAAAUCUUAAAAAGUACAAUUAGAGGGAAUAUUCAGUAGAAUAUUUCCUUUGAGGAUUCCAAAGCAAACUAGCUAUUUCAUCACUGUCCGACCUCGAUCUUAUUGAUGACUGUCCGAUCUCGGCUAUUGGUAACUGUACGACCUCAGCUAUUGAUGACUGUCCGACAUCGGCCUGUACGACCUCGGCUAUUGCUGACUGUCCGACCUCGGCUAUUGAUGAUUGUCCGACCUCGGCUAUUGAUGACUGUCCGACCUCGGCUUGUCCGACCACGACCUUAUAUCUCAGCGUGCCAAAUUUCUCUGAUCUAAUUUUGACCUAUACUGUUAGUCCCUCCGCUUAUUGAGGUCUUCUCGUGGUCGAGCUUGAUGAGCGGACUUCAUUAAUCGUAGUUCGAGAAAGUCAGAUGGGGAGGUUGACUAGUGUGGAUCGCGGCUGAGGGUGCCGAUCUUUAUGUCAAAGUGGUAUCCCCACGAGCUGAACUUUAGCAGAGUUCGAUCAGGGUCAAUGACUCGAGUGAUAAGUCGAUCGAGAAGACAGUAGAGUUGGGGAAGGCCGUCGAGGCAGGGAUGGCGGCAUCGGAGGAGGUCAUUCGUGUCCUCGGAUCUGGACGGGCGAGUAGGCUGAAUCUAAAUUCGGGCAAGGUUGCCGAAUGUGAAUUCGGAUGAGGCCGAGCGUUGAUUCGGACGAGGCCGAAGGUUGAUUCGGACGAGGCCGAAGGUUGAUUCGGUCGAGGCCGAAGGUUGAUUCGGUCGAGGCCGAAGGUUGAUUCAUCGAGGCCGAAGGUUGAUUCAUCGAGGCCGAAGGUUAAUUCGGACGAGGCUGAGUGUUGAUUCGGUCAAGGCCGAAGGUUGAUUCGGACGAGGUCAAAUUCUUCUUUUUGGCGAUGGCCCUUGGCCGUAAGGGCAUUAUUUCGAGCUUGUCAAAAUGUUAACCCGUCGUGGUUCGAACGAGGUCGAAGGUUUAUUCGAACGAGGCCGAGUGGUGAUUCGGUCGAGGCCGAAGGUUGAUUCGUUCGAGGCCGAAGGUUAAUUCGGACGAGGCCGAAUUCUUCUUUUUGGCGAUGGCCCUUGGCCAUAGGGGUAUUAUUUCGAGCUUGUCAAAAUGUUAACCCGUCGUGGUUCGAACGAGGUCGAAGGUUGAUUCGGACGAGGCCAAAUGGUGAUUUGGACGAGGCCGAGUGUUGAUUCGGUCGAGGCCGAAGGCUGAUUCGGUAGAGGCCGAAGGUUGAUUCGGAUGAGGCUGGAUUCUUCUUUUUGGCGAUGGCCCUUGGCUUUAAAGGGUGUUAUUCGACUUAUCGAAAUGUUAACCUGUCGUCGUUCGAUCGAGGUCGAACUCUUCCGUUUGGCGAAGGCUCUUAGCCUUAAAGGGUGUUAUUUCGAAUUAUCGAAAUGUUAACCCGUCGUUAUUUGAUAGAGGUCGAACUCUUCUAUUUGGCGAAGGCCCUUGGCCUUAAAGGGUGUUAUUUUGAACUUAUCGAAAUGUUAACCCAUCGUCGUUCGAACAAGGUCUAACUCUUCUUCUUUGGCGAAGGCUCAUGGCCUUAAAGGGUGUUAUUUCGAACUUAUCGAAAUGUUAACCUGUCAUCGUUCGAUCGAGGUCGAACUCUUCCUUUUGGAGAAGUACCUUGGAUUUAAAGGGUGUUAUUUCGACUUAUCGAAAUGUUAACCCGUCGUCAUUCGAUCAAGGUCGAACUCUUCCGUUUGGCGAAGGCCCUUGGCCUUAAAGGGUGUUAUUUCGAAUUUUUGGAGAAGGCUCUUGGCCAUAAAGGGUGUUAUUUCGAACUUAUCAAAAUGUUAACCCGUCAUCAUUCGAUCAAUGUCGAAAUCUUCCUUUUGGCGAAGGCCAUUGGCCUUAAAGGGUGUUCCCUGGGGGAGUCCCAAUUUGCUUAAUUUUAAUGCGUUGGAGAAUAUGAUGCAUUUCCUGGGGGAGUCCCAGUUUGCUUAAUUUUUGCUUGCGCUGGAGAAUAUGAUGCAUUUCCUGGGGGAGUCCCAGUUUGCUUAAUUUUGUUUUCAUUGGAGAAUACGAUGUGUUUCCCGAGUGAUUGCUCCUGCUUCUAUUCCACUUAGAGAAAUAGUCAGUUAAAACAAAAUAAAAACGUUCGUUACCUCGAUUUGAUUGGUCGAUGAGUGGAGGGGAGUGAUCACAUUUCCUUCUCCGGUUACGCUUUUAGUGGCCGCUACCAGUUUUGUCGAGAAAGCUAAGACGACGCAAAGCCGAUUAGAUUGUAGGGUACUCUGCAUUUCCACUGGAAAAUGUCAUUCUGACAAUUUAAAAAUUGACAACGAUGAUGACGAUCUACCGAACUUCGAUAAAAGUGCUUCCCUUAAGAUUGAAGCUAAAUCUGUCCUCUCUGUAGUUUUCUGUAUUUUACUUAUCAUUUUUCUGAAGCCCUUUUUUCAAAAAUUGAUGAGUGGGGGAGUGGUACUCACAAAAUUAAAAACAGACUCAGAUUUGAAAAGACUUGUUGGUGCACCAAAACUAAAGUGAAUAUACUUAAAGAAAACUGGCAAAGACCUUUGGCGACCUGGAUUAGCAGGUUUACCUGCGUUUGAUUAACGAGGAUGAAAGUCAUAUGACAUGUGCAUGACAUGUUGCAUUCUGGGUCCCAGGACGUAGGUGUUCUAUUUAUGAAUUGUUAGAGGAAACAACAAUGGAGGUAUUCGACGUGGCUACCGUUAGACCGUCGAUGGAAGAAGUCGUACGACAGUUAGAGGAGACCGAGAAACCGGUCUGCUUUGUACAACCCCGCUGAAACUAAGAGUGGAAGUGGUACUCCCUUUUAAAGCUCAUGUUGUUGUUUCAUAUUAUGCCUCUCUUUUUCUUAAAGGAGAGAGGGCUAAAUGGUUAUAGCUUUCUUACUCUUUCAACUAUUUACCUUUGGCUUUGCAUUGUUAGGUAAAAUCUUUCCAUAGAUAAAUUGACAAUAGACAAUAUGUAACGUUAGAUAGCAAAUUGGAUAUUAUAGUGUGCCUUUUUUUUAAAUGGCUCCUGCAACUAGCACAUCUUCUGCAAGACAUGAUUCAGAAGCAACUUUGAAUGUGCUCCAAAUUUUAGGUUGUGUGGGAUCAAAAAAAAAUUUAUUUUCUCCAUCAUUUCUAUGACAUGAUGAUAGUCCCUUAAACAUAAAGCUGACCGGUUUAAGUUUCUAAGGAAACUGCCACAAAAGUUAAUCGAAGCCCAACACAACUGGAUUCAUAGACAGUAAAGGGCCACUGGGGGACUGCGUAAAAAUAGCACGGGCUAGCUAGUUUUUGGACUGGUUAGUCAUUGGAUUGAAUUGAAUUUGAAUCUAGAGGAAACUAAAAUUUUAACUAGAAAAUCACCACAGACGGCGCCAAAUUGUUUGACUCAAAAGAUAUUAAAAUCUUUUUGAACAAAUCAAUCAAGGAUGAAAGGUCAAAUCCUAGUUAAAGAUAAUUAACUCUAGAUCCGAGAUGAAUGAUAUGAAUAGAAAAAACAUAGCCGAGUAUAAAUAUUGGCCGUGAUUAUGGCCAGAUUUAAUGGCAUAAAGAAAGAUGCAUUAAGUAACAUUAAAUGGCAAUAAAAUGUAAAUAAAGGAAAAGAUUCACCAAAUCUUGAGUUGAGUGGAUGUUCUUUCAUUUGAUAAAGACAAAUGAUAACAUAUACAAGAACCUUAAGACCCUUUUUAGAUCUGAUGAAGGUCUGGGAUCACAGAUCCUCUAAUCUCUUUAAAGAGGUAUGUUUACAUAUUUUUUAGAGAGAGGGAGAUGGAGCCCGAGCACCCCUUUUGGAAGUCCUCUCUUCCUAUUUAUAAGGGGUAUCCUUAGAAAAUCUUUAAAAAGUACAAUUAGAGGGAAUAUUCAGUAGAAUAUUUCCUUUGAGGAUUCCAAAGCAAACUAGCUAUUUCAUCACUGUCCGACCUCGACCUUAUUGGUGACUGUCCGAUCUCGGCUAUUGGUGACUGUCCGACCUUGGCUAUUGAUGACGUCCGACCUCGGCCUGUCCGACCACGACCUUAUAUCUCAGCGUGAAGAAUUUCUCUGAUCUAAUUUUGACCUAUACAACACGCAACAUAAAAUCCCUCAAGAUAGCACCAAUUAGAGAAGAGAUCGUAUAAUUUCCCAUGUCAGUACUCUUAUCAAUUUGAAGCAUUUUGCAAGUUCAAGUUAUAUACAUGCAUAAAAUCUCUCCUCUCUUCUAGUAAUUCAGAAACUUGAUGUAAGCACAUGAACUGUGCAGCUAUUUCCAAAGCAAUUUUCGCUAAUCGCAUUGACUUAAGGUUACCAGGAGUUCGAACAAGAAAGAACACCAAACAAAGUGGCAAACCAUUAAAAGUUAGAAAUGCAAAUAAUGAAGUCGUAAACAUAUCAAUCAAAUAGGAGACUCAACACAACCUCCGCGUAGGAGCAACUAUGAAUAUUCAAUCCAGUAACUUUGAAAU